AAAUCUCAACACUGAUGAGGAGCCGAGAGAAGAAAACCAGCCGGGGCUUCGGUGUAAAAGUUGAAGCAGCACAAUUUAAACGAAUCCAAAUGAAGACAAAGAGAUGAAAAACGAAAGCAAUGUGAUCCACCCGUCGUUUCCGCCAUGACCACUCCGCUCAAAAGGCGAAAGAUCAUCCUUUUUCUGUUUACCCUGAAAUUAUUGACCAUCUACUACUUCUUCCGAUCUCGCUCAGCCGAAGAUGAUACAGAAACCCCAAUAUCUUCAUCGCUCAAACGCUGGCCAUCUCUGCCCUCCUUUCGUCCCUGGAUACCGACCCUCGAUGUGCCCGUUGGGUCCUGCGAGGGGUAUUUCGGGAAUGGGUUCACCCAGCAAAUUACCGUCCUCGGAGAGGGCUCUCCCGGUUGGUUCAGGUGUUUCUACAGUGCGACUUUACAGACCUCGGUCUGCGAAGGCGGGGGCAUCCGGAUGGACCCGGAAAAGAUCUCCAUGUCGAAAGGCGGCGAGCCUUGGAGUCGGUCAUGGGUAGGAAAGAAGAAGACGAGCUGCCGGUGUUCCAUGACGGGGCUUUUGAAAUUGGCGUCUCAGAUGGAUCUCGCGCCGGGAGAAAUCUCGUGAACGAAGAGUUCCUGAACAGAUAUGUGCCCAGAGGUGCUGUGAAUCGACAUCCCAUGCGAGCAUUGAUGGCCUCCACUCGUUUAGUUGACGCAAAUAAGAUUCAAUGUUCUGAAUGGGUCGAGGAACCGACACUCUUGGUGACGCGCUUCGAAUACGCAAACCUUUUUCAUACCUUGACAGAUUGGUACAGUGCAUACGUGGCCUCUAGAGUUGUCGGCUUACCUAGGCGGCCUCAUGUGGUUUUCGUGGAUGGUCAUUGUCAGUCGGCACUGGAUGAAAUGUGGAGGGCCUUAUUUUCAAGCCUGAGGUUUGCCAAAAGCUUCGCCGGACCUGUUUGUUUUCGCCACGCAAUCCUCGUGCCUUUGGGAUACCAAACUGCCAUGUUCGAGGGACUUGACGGGAGGAUAGACUGCUCUGGUGUCACUCCGAAGGAACUUGAGCAACAUCCCAACACCACAAAGACAACUCGACUAGCAGAAUUCGGGGAGAUGAUGAGGGCCGCCGUCGGUUUACCACCGAACGAACACCGCUCGUCGUGGACUUCGGGUCACACCAUCCUCUUCAUCAGACGCGAGAACUACGUCGCCCACCUCGCGCUACCGGAAAAGUGGAGAGCAGGUUCAGCAACGAAAAACAACUCCUCGCUUCCUUGAAGAUCUGGGCCGCCAAUUAUUCCGGGUGUAAAUUGAACGUGGUCAACGGACUCUUCGCUCAUAUGCACAUGGAAGAUCAAAUCGAGAUCAUUCAACAUUCUACCAUCAUCGUAGGCGCUCAUGGGGCCGGCUUGUCGCACAUCAUAUCCGCUCUCCCAAACACGUCAGUUCUUGAGAUCUUGAGUCCCGGCUACAGACGGCCUCAUUUUGCACUCAUCGCCAAGUGGAAAGGGUUGAACUACCACCCUUUGUACCUCAAUAGUUCCUAUGCACAUCCUGUUGCUGUGAUCAAGGUGCUUGAUGACAUUGUAAAGGGUCUUGAUUGUUGAAGAUCCAUUUGGACUUAUUUUUGCUGAAUGGAACCAGAGACAGGUGGGAAAGGAGGGGUGUGCUCGUUGGUCGAGGGCCGUAAGAAUGAAUGGGAUUGUGAAGCAUCAGUGACGUCAGCAGCAACGGAUUCGGGAUCACGCCUAGUUUUACAUUGAUACUUACAUAGGUCUCCACGAGCACAUCCCAUCUCUCCCACACGUCUUAUAGUUCCGUUUAGUAGAAAUACCUCCAUUUAUGGGAAAGUUGAGACAUCUCAAGUUCUGGAUAUCAUUUACGGCCAGAGAUAUUACACGGUUAGUGGAGUUUUCGUGAAUUUUUUUGUUCAACUCAUUCACGGAUUCCUUUUCUACAUUCUCUGUUUGAAUAUGUUUGUUCCUAGUCAUACCCUUAAUUCUCUAGUCAGGUUUUUUCUAGUUCAUAAUUUUUGCGAUAGGUAAAAAUGUCAUUUUUCUGCCCGUUUUGACACCAUGGGAACUUUAAAGAUAAUGGAGCCAUUCGAAAUAGAUUCCGUAUGUGUAAAAUUUAAAAAAUUUACAUACUCAACGACUUGUGUAGUGAUUUAAGCUCCUGUAUCAUUUUCUCAUAGAUUCCGUAUGCCUUACCAUUCAAUAUUAUGAGACUCCACGCUGGCCUAGCUAUCCAUAGCUCAAUUGAUCAGUUAAGCGUGCUGGGGGAAUGUGGCAGGCUGCGAUAAAUUGCGAUACAUGAUCAAAUUAUUGCCACAGCACUAGCAAAUUGUGUAUGUUGCCUAUCCACUAAUCGUGGGGACGUGGGGGUUUAUUUAAUUGAAAUGCAUUGCAGUAAAAUUUAAUUUAAUUACAAUAUCUUUUCAUUUAAAAUUGCCGGCUUCUGAUCGUCUGAUCGUGUGAAAUAGGCAUUUGUUGACCAAAUGAUGUCAAAAUAUUGAAAGUCUGUCGCAAAUUAAUUGCUACAUUUUCGGUAAAAAACGCUUUGAGAGCAUGUCAGAUGCAGAUUACAAAACCGAGCAAAAUAAUACAUAUUACAAAUCAACGGCGAAACACUACCAAACCACGUAUCUCGUUUGCGGUGUUAAAAAAUCUACGCUCACAUUUUAUUUUUUUGAAGUAGACCAAAUCAAUAUCAUUCCUUGAAAUUUUCACAGAAUUUUCUCCGCACAAAGAGGAAAAAUCACAGAAAUUUUCAAGACUGGACGUUGAGUAGUUUUUCAUUUAAAAAUAAAGUACGACAGGAAGUCUGCGACGUCGCAAACCGAGAUACGUGGUUUGGUAGUUUCACCGUCGAAAUAUUAUGAAUAAAAGUCUGCUUAAGCAUCAAUUUCCUACGUCUCGCAUUACCAGAUCAGAGCUAUCGUUCUUUAAAAAAUCAGAAACACAAAUUGCGUUUGACAUUAUUCACUUGCGUCAGUGGAUAGUCUGCGUAGUCUUUUCCCCUCUCGUUAUAUAUCGAUGAUUCAUCAGGGGCAACCAUUUUGAGUGGGUGCAUCACUUGGUGAUGAAUUCGAGCUGCAAAAAUGCACUUAGGUCCGUAGCCUAUAUGUAUUGGUGAAUGACGCAGGUGGGUGAUACAUAACUACAACUACUCACGUAAGUCAAAAAUUACACAAAGCACCAUGACGCAAACAAAAUUCAAUGAAAUUCGAAUGUUUCAUCAGAUUCAGCAUAUCACAAAUAGCGCGAAACUUAGCUUGAACUCAGAUUCAGAAUUUUCAAGUAAUCGAAAUUGCCCUCCAGCCUCCAAUUACACCUUAAUUCAUGACCCGAGCCUCUUGUUUGUAAAGAAUUUCGGCCCGAUUCUUACACUUCUUAAAGUAUGUUUGAAUUUCGUCUAAAAAAUGUGUACAAUAUUUAUGGGUACAGCCGGAGAAUGCGUAUGUCCAUUGUAACAUGCUAAAAUGUCUCUUAUGUUUAGAAAUAAAAUAACCAAAACAUCUAAUUGAAGUUUCCUUUUAUUAUUUUUGAAUGAAUAAACAUGCACAAAAAACAUUAGAAAAACUAUUAUUUUGUUAAUUAAAAAAAUAGAGCAUGAGCGCAUAUCAUUGAAAGUUGUAAUCGGAGGCAUACGGAUUUUCAGACUAUAGUCAUCAAUACUUUUCAAAACGCAUGUGUACUUAGGUACACCAAAAAAUUAAAUCGGAGGAAGAAAUUGUAAAUAUCUAAUAAUUUAUUAAUGUAGCAAGAUGUGAAACUUUAUUUGUAAAUUGUGCUGUGCUUUAAGAUGUGUUCCUCUGAGAUGUAUAAUAUACUUAGGACACGCGUAUUUUUUAUAAUAUUUUUAAAAUACAUAUGUUUUUGUUAUAGAUUAAUUAGUAGGCGUCUGUUGUUAUCACCAUGAUUGCAAUUAAUAUUGCUCAACUUCAAAUUCCGCUUAGAUAAUAUUCAGUAGACUCUUCAGACAUAAUUCAGUAUUUAAAACCAUUAUUGUACGUCUAUCAUCGAUCCUUGCAAAUUUCAAUCAUUGAAAUAUAUGGAUUGCAUUUUGCAAAAAGGAACCACUAGCAUUGCAAUGAUGCUAUGAUUGCGCAGCUUCAACCUUUGCAAUAAAAUUGCGGAAAUUGUGAAAAACUAUGAAAUUUAAAUGGUAAUUUUUGCCUUAAAUUUACUGUUUUAAGCGAGUAAAAUAGAAACUAUUAAUGGAUAAUCGGAUUUUUCCUCCAAGGUCAAAGAAGUUGCACAAUCUUAGCAACAUUGCAAUGCUGGUGGUUCCUUUUUGCAAAAUGCAAUCCAUAUGUAAGACACUAGGUGUCUCCCCCCCCCCUUCGAUCGGGAGUCCCGACUUUAAGAAGCAUGACCACUGGCUCCCCUUCCCCACCUCCUAAAGACUGGUGGGAAGGGGGAGAAGGUUCAGGACGUGAAAUCCGGAUUCCUUAUUGGGGUCAAUUCCAUAAGUAACUCCUCGGUCCCCGACCUCAAAUGACUUAAAAAUAAACCGAGGAAAAACCUGUUGCGGAGCCGAUUUUUAUUUAGCGCGCAACCGGAGAAGUUCCCGCUUAUUUGAAAAUUGGCGCGUCAAUUUGAAUAUUUUGCAAAGCGCGGCACUGAAUUGGCGGGAACCAAUAGGAAUUGAUGUUUCGCCUUGAUUACAUCCGUGUUAUUUUGAUAACAAGUUGUAAACAAACUUGCGUGGUUCUUCAUCUUCCCGUGGGUGUUGCAAAUUUUUUUGCAAACCUUUGGAAUGGUGGAGACGGAAGAAGAACUAAAACUGGCUGUAUGAAAAGAUAACCAAAGCAACUCGAUGUUAUCGCUCAAAAACACUUAUCCGACCGCGAGAAAAGAAUAUAAAAAACUGAGGACAUUAAUAGCCGAGACUUCGUGUUGUUGUCAAUAACAGGAUGAAGCAUCUGACAAAGAUUUUUGGAAAACUUAUCUCUUCUUGGUUUGAAUUAUAGGUACUUUUCUUCUCACACGCGCUACUUUUAUACCAGUUAGUCUGAUAAGACAAGACACAAUGUGUCAUUUCCUUGCUCCAAACAUUUACAAGUUGACACGGCUACAGCCUGGAGAUUAAAGCAGGACUGACCAUGAAGGCUAUUUAUUUUAGCUUAAAAUGAGUUUACGCAAGUGUUGACCUCCCAUAACAAAUCAACGGAUAUUCAUAUCAACAUGGGCUCGUUGUCUUGGGACCUUUUCUAGGUUGGGAUUCCUCCAAUCACAGUGUUUGAAACCGAUAUUUCGGCCAUCACCUCUCCAAUACAGGUAGGUAGCAAGUUGUACUGGUGUAAAUUUUGUGGUGGAACCCGGAGAACAAAAAAUCAUUUAAAUUACAGUGUUCUCACGUUAACGUUCGUAAAUAUAUAUUUUAUAUUUUGAAAUUAUGAUUGCAAACAUUACUGCAUGAAAUUUAACAAGAGUAUUUUUGAAAAUGAUUAUACAAACCAAAUCGUAUUUUGGAUACAAAUACCGAUUAUAUAGAUCCUUUUUAAAAUUAAUAUUUGCUAACAUGAAAGUCGCAACAUCAAAAACCAUAUGUGCGUAUUUUUUGCGUUAGCGUCAAUUUUAGGCGAACGAAUUUUCAAAUGUCAGGAGUCAAGUAAUAUUAAAAGUCAAUCCCUAUAUCAAGUGCAAUGCACACAUGCAUUGUAAAAGUAGUGAUAGCUACCCAAUCAAUACAAUGAGAUACCUCGACGAUAGAUUGAUCGUGAAGAUAAUAUACACGCACCGACUCACAGUGGAACGAGUCUUCGGAAAAAUUGUACAAUUUUACGUUUAUCUAGUCACAAUUUUAAUUUUAAGGGGUGCUUUUGAUAGUAAAUUUUAC
rnacentral:lncRNA from 1 species